GACGAACGCUGGCGGCGUGCUUAACACAUGCAAGUCGAACGGAAAGGCCCUGCUUUUGUGGGGUGCUCGAGUGGCGAACGGGUGAGUAACACGUGAGUAACCUGUCCCUGACUUUGGGAUAACUUCAGGAAACUGGGGCUAAUACCGGAUAGGAGCUCCUGCUGCAUGGUGGGGGUUGGAAAGUUUCGGCGGUUGGGGAUGGACUCGCGGCUUAUCAGCUUGUUGGUGGGGUAGUGGCUUACCAAGGCUUUGACGGGUAGCCGGCCUGGGAGGGUGACCGGCCACAUUGGGACUGAGAUACGGCCCAGACUCCUACGGGAGGCAGCAGUGGGGAAUAUUGCACAGUGGGCGGAAGCCUGAUGCAGCAACGCCGCGUGCGGGAUGACGGCCUUCGGGUUGUAAACCGCUUUCGCCUGUGACGAAGCGUGAGUGACGGUAAUGGGUAAAGAAGCACCGGCUAACUACGUG
rnacentral:rRNA from 1 species